CGGCCUCUCUCAAGCAGAAAAUUUCCACAUUGUGCGCCUCCAAAUUUUUCUAACAACGCGGAUGGAGACACGUGGAAAACUGGUGGAAGAACAACAGCUCCUAGCAGCAGAAGUUCAGAAAUACAGGAUGAAGACUGCCAGUGUCUAACACCAGCGAAGAGGCUGAAUCCAGAGGCACAUGAUCGAUCAGCAGCUUGUACAUAAUGUAUCCGUCACACACAAGCACAACGGUCUGUGGGAAGGCAUAAUUACUCUCGAUUCUAAUCAUUGCUGUCGUCAAUGAUUGCUAAAGUUAUUUAAAUAACCAAACCAAGGUUGCUGUUCCUGUUUGCUUUUCCGUAGCUACAGAAGGUUAAACUUGAACAUUACACUCAGGGGGCAGGGGAGGUGAUGCCACGGUAUAAAGUGAUAUAACAUCACGGUUGUGUACAAAAUGAAAUGUAAAGUGAUUGUUAUAACUAUUACUGCUACUUAGUGUUAUCUUUAUUUUUCUAUGUAUAGAUGAAUUUUGAGUGCACUUAUAUCAUAGCUAAUGUUGUAAACCUAAGAAGUGGUAAUGAAAUUAAAGGUUUGGAGUCCAUGGUGGGAAUACUUGAAGUGAUGCAAGUGCUGGAGGGAAUACUUGAAGUCGGAGCGGGGUCUUAAGAGUGAGCCUGUCCUUUGGGUGUUUCAGUGGGUCUUUGUCCUUUGGUGUGCUAACUUUUAAAUGACUUGACUAGUCUUUCCCACCUUUCGUAUUGAUCUGCUACUCUCACCUAUUCCAUGAGUUGGGGGAUUUGACCCGAGGGGGUGGUAUGGUGAUGCCACCGCAUGUGUAUUUGCAGGCCAUUUGUAGUCCACUGUCUUUUCUAAGGCUGCCAAUUUUAAAAAGGGAAACGUGUCUUGUUUUUAAAUGUGAAUUUCUGAAUAGUAAUCAACACAACAGUGUCAUUACAGAUGUUUUAUUAAUCUCCUCUUCCACUUUAAUCCAAGACAAGAUGCUCGUUUUAUUCUACUUCAAAUUCUCCUUCUACUGAGUAAAUGCAAUGUGUGCACAUACAGAGAUGUUUAUGUUUGACAAAUUGAUUUUCAAAAUAAAUGAGCUGUCUUUCG
ensembl:lncRNA